UGCCGGUGGCGGGCGGCCGCCGCAGUUGCGGAGGGGAAGCCGGCCGGGAUGCGGGCUGGCCCCUGUUUCUCUGGUGGCUGGGCGCCGCGCCGGCUGCCGCUGCCCGGCCGGGUCUCGCCUGUCCGGCUGGUCGGCGGAAAGGCUGAGAAAUCGCACGGAAACCGCCGUCCCGAGCGUGAGGCGGUUCCCGGCUGAGGGGCGCGGAGUGCUCCCGGGCCUCAGGGGCAGGGGUAGAAACGAGACCUGCAGCUGAGUCUUUGGCCCGUCGCUGUUCAAGAUUCCUGAGGUACCUGUACAAAGCAAGAUUGACCACUUUAACUUGUUUGGCUGCUACCAGUUAUUUCACCUUUUAUCAACUACAAGGAGCACGGACCUAACAAUGAAGAAUGAUGCAAAUCUAAUGAUCCUAUUGAUUGAACUAGGGGUUCAUUCUUUGAGAGAAAUUGAAGGUACCUGCUGAAAAAGAAACUUACUUAGGAAUCAGGAACCUGUGAUCCUGCACUACAAGAGAACAGUGAAUGUACGGAGCUGUCAAGACAAGCACUAUUUCCCCUUUGGAGCAAAUGAGGAAUCGAUACUGCCUGAACUCAUUAUCUGCUAGUGCAUCUUCAUUGCCUGUAUAAAUUGUUAUUCCUAAUAAGUGACUAACUCAUCACCAUUUAUCUAAAAUCAUGUGAUCAUUUCAAGAUUUUGCUUUGUUUCAUACAAUUCUCGAGACAAUUGUGUAGUUACAGGAAGGUAUAAUCUCUGUGAUACCAUCAUGGCUACAUUAAAAUGUGUGACGAGAACUUUGGCUUAUAUGUAUUAGAAAUGCUCUUUCCACUUAGGCUUUUAAGGUGUGUGAAACAGAUUUUCAUUUUCAUCCAAUGCUCAGUGCACAUGAAGUGUCAUCUUCCUUAUGGGGAAAAAGUCCAGUCACAUAACUGCAUAAACCUGAACCAUUUAAACCAUCUUUAAUGCUAUCUUUUAAAAUACAUUUUUAAUGUAGACUUUUAAGUCUUCCAAGCUUAGAAGGUGACUCCCAGUUCUGGUGCCCCAAACUGACAUCUAGCUCACAGCACUGAGUUGGUUAGGGUCCUCACCCUUCACCUGCCCCUGUGCUAGGACAACAGCUCUGCCCCCACUAUUUCCCAUCACCUGAAACAAUUGCCUUAAUCCUUUAAUAUUCACCCUCUGUUUUUUCUCACUUCUACAAACCCUGGUUCUGUUCAUUUGUUCAAAUUUGUUUGCAAUAACAGUCCUUCCAGUGUAAAAAAUAAUUAAAGAUGGAGGUCCAGAUACAGUAACCAAGGUCAGCCACAGCCCCAUGAUGACUGAGCAGGUCUCUGGAGAUAUGGGUGGGCCAAGGCCAGGCUGGCAUGCCAGCUGGUGGGUCAGAGGCAUCCCCACUGCCUGUCUGGAAAAGCUUUAUUCAUGGUCACCAGCAGCAUUGGCCCUGAGCCUGGGCAGCCAGACUCUCAGGGUAAGGGGUACACUCAGAGCCCUGCUACUUUGAGAUGAGUUUGGUUUUUUUAGAGGAGAAGUUUCGGAAAAUUCAGCUUGUCUGUAUGUAAAGGAAGAGUUUAUUUUGAGGGCUCGAGUGUUUUUUUUUGCUGGGAGGUUAGAUACAUACCUGCUGUCUUUGGUCUCAGAGGUUGGAACAUGCCUAGACAAAGGAUGGGACUGAAAAUUGACAAAAUGGAAACUGAGUGUCUUGCUGGUUUUUAAACCACUGUACUUUUGUUUCUUGUCAAUGAUAAGUUUAACUUCUUCAGUCAAUUCUACAAAGGGCACUUGUCAUACAGGUUUCUCUGCGCUGUGGGGAAAUGUCCUCAAAGAUACCCAUCACAAAUAGGAAGUGCACUGUGCAUAACCAGAUGCUUAUGCAGUGGUCACACUCCAAAUACACAGUGCCUCUGAUUCAUGAGGUAUUGUAGGAAAUAUCUCAACUCUGUCUUUUAUUUAGUACAUUUGCCUAAGCUUACUAUGCCCGAUUAUAUCAGGAUGGGCAGUAUUUUUAACAUUCUUCCUUCAAAAUCUUAAUUCCUGGACAAGAGCUCUUGGAGCAAAUAACUCUUCCCUCAUCCUUUCUGCCUCUUCUUUAAUAAAUACAUUUUCUAUUGUGGUUGAUAUGCCAUUUCAAUUUAAAAAGGUCAAUUUAACACAGACAAGUUUCAUCAAAGAUCAAAUUAGUUUAUUGAUUAGGACUAUGAAGAGCAUAACAAAUCAGUGAUGUAGAGAGUACAUAGCCUAAUUCUGCAUGGUUAGAGAUAAUAUUUUUUUCCUCCAGUUAAGUAUGGCAAGCAUUCAGCUUUCAUUAGCUGAAGUAAUAAAAGUAUAUAAUGUCCCAGAGCAUGCAAAAACUUAGACUGUUGAAUGUAAUGCUUGCGCUCCAGGUGCAAACUAAGACUGAGUUUAUCAGGGUUCAUCAGUUCUGGCAAGGCAGGACUGGGGAGUUUUACAGUCUCUUCCAUUUGGUUCCAGUAGGUUUAUUGACUGGGUGUAAAACCAGCUCUGGUCUGCUUUGCAGCUGAAAUGAUGUAUUGUCUUAGAAAGGAGGCUCUGUAAGUGGUCCUCUGUGUAUCACAUAGCCAGGUUCAUACUGUGCUGUGCCUGACCUAGUAAAUUCUGCUGGGAUUCUUCAGGACCAGCAGUAGGUUGGCUUCACUCAUGUCUGUGGACUAGUAAAUUGCAACCCAUCUAUGUUGUGACACAAAUGAAGUUAUUCGGUAUUCCAGGUCAUGGUGUGCAUUUAGCACUCACUCACACUCUUCUCUGCUGUCUUAGACUGCCUAUCUCAAAGUUCCUUGUUGCUUAACUCUAUGAUUCUUACGUAUACUGGCUCAUGUAUUAUUCAGUGCUUUUACUUGACCUAAGUGCAAUAAAAGAGCAAUAAGAGUCAGCAGCAGUCAAAAUUCAGUCUUUUAGGGCAAAGUCUCAUUCCUGCUAAAUUUUUUUGCCUCCUUAUUCUGCUUUCUACUAGAUUAGUGACAUUUCUUCCUCACUAUUUGUUUAUAAUUUAAAGCCCUAUAAAGUUACUUGAUCUGCAUCAGUUUAUCUCCAGACUAAGAGUAUAAAAGCAUGAGGCACAUAGGUUACCUUUUACUUAUGGCCAUGUACCGUGAGUGCGGAAAACACACAAAUCAUGGUCUGAUAUUAAAAUCCUUGCUCAGCAAUUUUUUAAACAGUUCACUAGAACAGAUAUAACAAAGCUGUACCUGAGCAUAAGUGCAUGGGGUUAUGGAAAUGUUGUUUACAAUUUAUUACAAAGACUUUAUGAUAAUGAAAGUAAAAUAGAGAUAAAAUGCUAUGUAAUACCUCAGUUUCCAUUACUUAUAAAUGGUCUCAUUCAGAACCUGGGGAAGAUCAGGUACAUAAGUUUUUUGAACUCUUUAUGAAUGAAGGUACAAUGACUAGAACAGAGAGGACCAACCCUUAGUGAAGUUUUUUAGGAUUUAUCCUAAUAAAAUAGGAAGUUAUUUUGUUCCUAAUGAAUUGAUGUUACUAGUCAAAUGUUUAAACAGAAACAGGUUAGGUAUCAGCAAAACUGUACAGACAUCAUUUCACACUGUAUUACAAAGUGUACAAAAUAGAUAAACGUGAAAAAGAGAAUAUAUUGAAUUUUUUGUUUGGUUGGGUUUUUUUGUUUGGUUGGUUUUUUUCCCCAGUAUAUGGUAUGAAUAUGUUCAAAGCUUUUGACAAAAAUACAGUUUCCGAGUGUAAUACUUGAUAAAUUAUCUCAUACAUGGAAAUAAUUGUAUCUUACCUGUUUAAGUUUUAUUUCUGUCUAUUAUUAUUUAUACUUCUCCAGGAUAUCCGAUUGCUUGGUUUGACUAUUAUUUGCAUUUUCUACUCAUGAUAUCUCAAAUUAAUGCUUGGCAUCAAAUAUUCAUUUAUACUGUGAUUAUGCCACUAGCUGGCAAAUCAAUCUUUUACUGAAGAAAAUACUUUAGUAGAUGAUGAGAGGUUAGUUGAUAGGGGAUAAGACAACAAGGUAUCACACUGGCAAGCCUAAUUAUAGCAACCUGUAAAGGUGUUGGUAAAGUACAGUUCAAGUUUGCUGAUAUUAAGGUAGCAAAUAAUAAGAGGCUGCUCACAUCAAAGAGCCCUUGUCAAAAAAGACAUUUAAAUUUGCAUCGCUAAAGGAUCAUUAUAAGAACGGCACAUGAACAAUGGUUGCACUUCGUGUGAAAUUUCUAAUAAACGUGUGCCCUUUUUAUGUUCAGUAAACAGAAAAUGGAUAAUAUCAGGUUAAGUUUUAUCCCAUUUCUGUGGAUUUUAUUUGGUCUUUUAAAAGACCUAUUUAGAUGAAGUUGUAGCUCAAAAUAAAAGAUAUGAAAUUUUGUAUUGAUGUACUUCUAAAGGAUACUUACCAAAAUAAAUCACUUCGAGAUUGCAAAUGCCAUCUUAGAUCACUGUAACUUGUCUGUCCCUGAGGUCAUAAAAGCAGAACAGCAUGAAGGAGGAUAAACCCAUCCUUCUGAAAUUCCAAAGCUCUUGUGCAAUAGAAUUGAUGCUUUUUGCAUUUUUCAGGUUUUUCUAAAUUUCGGUGGAUGAAUUCCAGACCUCAUGCAAGCCAGUGGCCAGUCUGCAAUAGACUACAGAGGAAACCGAGAUUCACCAAUUUUUUUAAAUUAUUUUUUUUUCCAGAAAUUUCAAACAUUUUAUUUUUUAUCUUUCUGACAUUGUCCUUUCUCAUGCCUGUCUCUUCUAAAAUGACUUCUUCUAAUAAAGAUAUUCGUAACUAGUGA